rfam:Danio rerio chromosome 4, GRCz11 reference primary assembly.
GGCGCUGUGGCUUAUUUGGUCAAAGCGCCUGUCUCGUAAAUAGGAGAUCCUGGGUUCAAAUCCCAGCAGUGCCU